rnacentral:lncRNA from 1 species
GAAGUGGAGCUUGGUGGAAUGCAGAAUAACAUACAACGGAUAGAACAAGGCAUGAACGAUAAAUUCCACCACUUGGAAGCAAUGAUUAGCAAACUGGUCGAGUCAUUCAGCCUAUCUCAAGGAGUUAUGAACCAACAAGAUCAGGCAGGAUCUUUACGUCCAGGCCGAGGGGAGAGUGAAGGGGAACGACAACAAUUUCCACCACAAGUAGCCAAGCUCGAAUUUCCGCGAUAUUCAGGUGGUGAUCCUACAGAAUGGUUUAACCGUGUUACUCAGUUUUUUGAUUAUCAGCAGACUGCCGAUGAUCAGCGAGUUGUGUAUUUGAUAAUUUUUCUUGUGAUUUCAAUUAUCGCAGCACGUAAAUGUUUUUUUAGCAUCAAGAGAUAUAUUACCUUCAGCAACAACUUCAGGAACCAUGUAGGCCGCUUUCUGAUCAAUCUUGUGUAUUUUGAUUUUGACAGUAAAAGGAACUACUUAACGGCUAAAAUUCAGAAUGCUGGUAAACACUUUGUGUAUUUGAUAAUUUGAGGUUUUUUUUUUUUAAGAACUUGCAGCAAGAUUGCAAGGUUACGAGCAGAGCAGCAUAUAAUUUGUUUGAAACGACCCGCCUCGAAUCCCCCCAGGUGAGUCUAUCUAGUCUCAUCAAAACAGACUUGAUAAUAAUUCUAUUCGUAAAGAUUCUGCCGAAAAUUCGGCAGAGUCUCCUUUAUAUAUAUACUACUCCCAAUCUACAAAUAUGAAUAUAACACUCUCAAUACAAUUCAAGAUACAACAAACUCCAGUGCUCAACAUCCUCAACUAAAAUGCUGAGUUUUAUAUCUCCAGGGUCUCAAAAGAUAAUAUUAUAACUAAUAUUAAUAUCUCAGUUUAUUCUUAAUCCCAAAAGAAGAAUAUAACAAAAUUAUACAAUCCCAAAAGAACAAGAUGACCAAGAUGUCCUAACAAAAACAUCUAUAUCUUCUAACACCAUCACGUGGCCAAGAUUCAAAAUAUAUUUACAGUUGCUAGGUCGGUCUGGUGUACCUGCAACCUCCUAGUGAGGGGGGAAAAAUAUAAUUAAAACGGGGUGAGUUUAAAACUCAGUGAGUGGAUAGUAGUUUUGAAAAUUAAUUCUUACUUUAAAAGAAAUAAUCAUCUCAUUUCCAAACACGAUUUCAUUAAACCAUAAGCGAGAAACCAAUAAUAAAUCAUUAAACAUUUAAAUCAGAUUACUAACCAUGGAAAUCAUAUCACAAUAUCAUAUAGAAUUCACAAAUCUGAAAAUCGUCACCAAACAAGUACCCCGGAAAAUAAUCUCAUCAUAUCCGGACCUCAACGGACGGGCAAUGACGUACUAUCUGGGUAACGUCACGCCCCGGAGCUACACGGAUAGAUAGGGAAAUACCAUCUCAUAUCUCAUCAUAUCUCAUCAUAUCUGUGCAUGCAUAAUAAAACGCCCAAGCACACGGCCCAAAGCCUCUAUGUGUACUCAGACGGGCCCCAAAGGCCUGUAACUCAUCUGUAUCAUCUGUAUCUCAAUAUCUGUAUCAUAUGUAUCUCAAUAUCUGUCUGUAUCUCAUAUCUGUAUCUCUAUAAUCAUCAUACUGUAUGCAUGUGCCCCCAAAAGGUAAAAGCGUCCAAACACACGGCCCAAAGCCUCUAUGUGUGUUCAGAUGGGCCCCAAAGGCCUCUCAUCUCAUAUCACAUGUAUCACUGUAUCUGGAGGGGAAGGGUACUGUCUAAUGAUUUCAAAAACAAUCAUUAUACUCAUAGUCACAUACAUUUUAAUCAUACUUUAAAUCAUACCACAUUUGAAUCCACGUUUCUCAUCUUUAAAAUACUAUCAUGCUUAUUCAAAGUCGAUACAUAAAAUCAUUAACCAAACAUUUAAUAAAAUAUCAAUGUGUGAAUAAAAUCCAUUUCGAAGAAAUCAUUAAAUCAGAACAUUUAAAAUACUUAUUUCUCAAACAUAUUUUACUAUCAUAAUUAACUAUGAAAAUAGGUUUUGUAUAUUCCACUCACAGUGAUGGUGUUCACAGUCGGUUAUCGUCCACGUCCGCGGAUCGGUUCUGGCUCGCAGAUCCUCCUAAAUCAAGGAAACGACAUAAGUAUUUUCCGUAAAUCGAAAUUACGACUCAAUUUAUGCAAUAAACUCGAAACGAACAUCUAUCCAUAAUUGACAACUCCCGUGUCCAUAAAAUUACCAAAAUGCCCUUGAGUCCGUAAAUCAUUAACAUACUUCGAAAUCGUAAAUCACCGAAUUACCCUCGAAAUCGUAAUUACACCCAAUCCUCAAUUCUAGGAAUUACUAAAAUAUUCACAGGCUCAGAAAUUACAAAAUUGCCCUCAUAGUGUGAAAUUACCAAAAUGCCCUUGCCGGUCAACGGUCACCGAAAAUUGGUCAACGCUGGCUAGGAAGCUCAAAUCUGAAAGUUCCAAUCACGCUGAGUUCAAUGGUACCGGCGGUGAGCUCCAACGCGCGGCAACGGCGCCGGAAUCGAGCUCGGCAGUCGUGAAUUCCAACAAUCGACCGGCGGCAAAACAAUGACUCUCGGUGCCUAUGGAUGGUCGGAAAUGGAAGAGGGAGUCGUGGGGAACAAAAUCCAACUGGUGGUGUCACCCAAAAUCGGCGAAAAUCCUGGCGGAACAAAGUGAAAUAGUCGCGGGUUUCAAGCUUCGAUCGCCGGCGUUCCGGUUAGUUUUCGGCGGCGAGGAUGGCAGGGGAACGACGGUCGGCUUCUAAGCUUCAGAUUGGUACCAAGCUCAGCCGAAACGGUGGCCGGAAAUGGGAGAUAUGGUCGGGUCAAGGUUGCGGGUUCCGGGUCGGGUUUUCGGGUCGGGUUGACGGCUUCUCUCUCUCACUCUCUCACACACGUGUAGCUUC